rnacentral:rRNA from 1 species
UACGGAGGGUGCAAGCGUUAAUCGGAAUUACUGGGCGUAAAGCGUGCGCAGGCGGUCUUUUAAGUCAGAUGUGAAAUCCCCGGGCUUAACCUGGGAACUGCGUUUGAAACUGGAAGGCUUGAGUGUGGCAGAGGGGGGUGGAAUUCCACGUGUAGCAGUGAAAUGCGUAGAGAUGUGGAGGAACACCGAUGGCGAAGGCAGCCCCCUGGGCUAACACUGACGCUCAUGCACGAAAGCGUGGGGAGCAAACAGG